rnacentral:rRNA from 1 species
AUUGAACGCUGGCGGCAGGCUUAACACAUGCAAGUCGAGCGGGGUAAUGGUGCUUGCACUAUCACUUAGCGGCGGACGGGUGAGUAAUGCUAGGAAUCUGCCUAUUAGUGGGGGACAACAUCUCGAAAGGGAUGCUAAUACCGCAUACGUCCUACGGGAGAAAGCAGGGGAUCACUUGUGACCUUGCGCUAAUAGAUGAGCCUAAGUCGGAUUAGCUAGUUGGUGGGGUAAAGGCCUACCAAGGCGACGAUCUGUAGCGGGUCUGAGAGGAUGAUCCGCCCCACGGGGACUGAGACACGGCCCAGACUCCUACGGGAGGCAGCAGUGGGGAAUAUUGGACAAUGGGGGGAACCCUGAUCCAGCCAUGCCGCGUGUGUGAAGAAGGCCUUAUGGUUGUAAAGCACUUUAAGCGAGGAGGAGGCUCUUUUGGUUAAUACCCAGAAUGAGUGGACGUUACUCGCAGAAUAAGCACCGGCUAACUCUGUGCCAGCCGCCGCCGUAA